GAAACAUUUGAAGUGACUUAGUGGCGGACGGGUGAGUAACGCGUGGGUAACCUGCCCUGUACUGGGGGACAACAGUUGGAAACGGCUGCUAAUACCGCAUAAGCGCACAGCAUCGCAUGGUGCAGUGUGAAAAACUCCGGUGGUACAGGAUGGACCCGCGUCUGAUUAGCUAGUUGGUGGGGUAACGGCCUACCAAGGCGACGAUCAGUAGCCGGCCUGAGAGGGUGAACGGCCACAUUGGGACUGAGACACGGCCCAGACUCCUACGGGAGGCAGCAGUGGGGAAUAUUGCACAAUGGGCGCAAGCCUGAUGCAGCGACGCCGCGUGAGUGAUGAAGUAUUUCGGUAUGUAAAGCUCUAUCAGCAGGGAAGAAAAUGACGGUACCUGACUAAGAAGCACCGGCUAAAUACGUGCCAGCAGCCGCGGUAAUACGUAUGGUGCAAGCGUUAUCCGGAUUUACUGGGUGUAAAGGGAGCGUAGGCGGCAUGGCAAGUCAGAUGUGAAAGCCCGGGGCCCAACCCCGGAACUGCAUUUGAAACUGUCAGGCUAGAGUACCGGAGAGGUAAGCGGAAUUCCUAGUGUAGCGGUGAAAUGCGUAGAUAUUAGGAGGAACACCAGUGGCGAAGGCGGCUUACUGGACGGUAACUGACGCUGAGGCUCGAAAGCGUGGGGAGCAAAC
rnacentral:rRNA from 1 species